UUUUGACAGGGACGAAGCGCAAGUGACUGUACCUGUAGAAUAAGGACCGGCCAACUACGUGCCAGCAGCCGCGGUAAUACGUAGGGUCCGAGCGUUGUCCGGAAUUACUGGGCGUAAAGAGCUUGUAGGCGGUUCGUCGCGUCGUUUGUGAAAACUUGGGGCUCAACCUUAAGCUUGCAGGCGAUACGGGCGGACUAGAGUACUUCAGGGGAGACUGGAAUUCCUGGUGUAGCGGUGAAAUGCGCAGAUAUCAGGAGGAACACCGGUGGCGAAGGCGGGUCUCUGGGAAGUAACUGACGCUGAGAAGCGAAAGCAUGGGUAGCAAACAGGAUUAGAUACCCUGGUA
rnacentral:rRNA from 1 species